GACGAACGCUGGCGGCGUGCUUAACACAUGCAAGUCGAACGGAAAGGCCCUGCUUUUGUGGGGUGCUCGAGUGGCGAACGGGUGAGUAACAAGUGAGUAACCUGCCCUUGACUUUGGGAUAACUUCAGGAAACUGGGGCUAAUACCGGAUAGGAGCUCCUGCUGCAUGGUGGGGGUUGGAAAGUUUCGGCGGUUGGGGAUGGACUCGCGGCUUAUCAGCUUGUUGGUGGGGUAGUGGCUUACCAAGGCUUUGACGGGUAGCCGGCCUGAGAGGGUGACCGGCCACAUUGGGACUGAGAUACGGCCCAGACGCCUACGGGAGGCAGCAGUGGGGAAUAUUGCACAAUGGGCGGAAGCCUGAUGCAGCAACGCCGCGUGCGGGAUGACGGCCUUCGGGUUGUAAACCGCUUUCGCCUGUGACGAAGCGUGAGUGACGGUAAUGGGUAAAGAAGCACCGGCUAACUACGUG
rnacentral:rRNA from 1 species